rnacentral:lncRNA from 1 species
GGAGGAUGAGCCAGUCAGAGUAGUUCCUAGGAGACAUCCUAGGAGGGCAACACAGUAGGAGGAUGAGCUUGCAGAUGCACUGGCACAACAGCCUGAGCCUUUUCAGAUGAGAGACAUGUACAUGUCUAUGAUGGAGGCGAUGAUGGAGUCCCUUUGCAGAGGGCAGGUGGCCACUGCCGAGAUGAUUGUAGGACUAUAUGAUCAGCC